CAGCCGCCGCGGUAAUACCGGCGGCCCGAGUGGCGGCCACUAUUAUUGGGCUUAAAGCGUCCGUAGCCGGGUUGGUUAGUCUCCCGGGAAAUCUGGCCGCUUAACGGUCAGAAUUCCGGGAGAUACUGCCAGCCUAGGGACCGGGAGAGGCCGAGGGUAUUCCCGGAGUAGGGGUGAAAUCCUAUAAUCCCGGGAGGACCACCUGUGGCGGAGGCGCUCGGCUGGAACGGGUCCGACGGUGAGGGACGAAGGCCAGGGGAGCAAACCGGAUUAGAUGCCCGGGUAGUCCUGGCUGUAAACGAUGCGGACUUUGUGUCGGACAAGCUAUGAGCUUGUCCGGUGCCGGAGGGAAACCGUUAAGUCCGCCGCCUGGGGAGUACGGCCGCAAGGCUGAAACUUAAAGGAAUUGGCGGG
rnacentral:rRNA from 1 species